rnacentral:rRNA from 1 species
GAUGAACGCUAGCUACAGGCUUAACACAUGCAAGUCGAGGGGAAACGACAUUGAAAGCUUGCUUUUGAUGGGCGUCGACCGGCGCACGGGUGAGUAACGCGUAUCCAACCUGCCCACCACUUGGGGAUAACCUUGCGAAAGUAAGACUAAUACCCAAUGAUAUCUCUAGAAGACAUCUGAAAGGGAUUAAAGAUUUAUCGGUGAUGGAUGGGGAUGCGUCUGAUUAGCUCGUUGGCGGGGUAACGGCCCACCAAGGCGACGAUCAGUAGGGGUUCUGAGAGGAAAGUCCCCCACAUUGGAACUGAGACACGGUCCAAACUCCUACGGGAGGCAGCAGUGAGGAAUAUUGGUCAAUGGGCGAGAGCCUGAACCAGCCAAGUAGCGUGCAGGAUGACGGCCCUAUGGGUUGUAAACUGCUUUUAUACGGGGAUAAAGUGAGCCACGUGUGGCUUAUUGCAGGUACCGUAUGAAUAAGGACCGGCUAAUUCCGUGCCAGCCGCCGCGGUAA